UUUGAAGGGAAUGUUGGCUGGCUCUAAGCAUUCACAACGGGAGAAGAAGAAAUCAGAAGCAGUGGAAGCUUUGGACCAGUCUUCAUUCCCCUCAAU
rnacentral:pre_miRNA from 1 species